UACGUAGGGUGCAAGCGUUAAUCGGAAUUACUGGGCGUAAAGCGUGCGCAGGCGGCUUUGCAAGACAGAUGUGAAAUCCCCGGGCUUAACCUGGGAACUGCAUUUGUGACUGCAUGGCUGGAGUGCGGCAGAGGGGGAUGGAAUUCCGCGUGUAGCAGUGAAAUGCGUAGAUAUGCGGAGGAACACCGAUGGCGAAGACAAUCCCCUGGGCAUGCACUGACGCUCAUGCACGAAAGCGUGGGGAGCAAACAGG
rnacentral:rRNA from 1 species